rnacentral:rRNA from 1 species
CCCUUAGAUGUUCUGGGCAGCACGCGCGCUACAAUGGUCUUCGCAAACGGAUGCAUUCUCGAAGGAGAAUGCCAAUCUUGGAAUCUAUGCCUUGGUCGGGACAGUUGCUUGCAAUUUUUCGACUCGAACCAGGAAUUCCUUGUAAUCGUGAUUCAUCACAUCACGAUGAAUACGUCCCUGCCCUUUGUACACACCGCCCGUCGCUCCUACCGAUCGAAGAGUUAGUUGAAUUGUUUUGAUCGAUAAGAUUUGACUAUGGUCAACUCUCGUUGUGAAAUUCUGUGAAUCUGACUGUUUAGAGGAAGGAAAAGUCGUAACA